CCCAGACUCCUACGGGAGGCAGCAGUGGGGAAUAUUGGGCAAUGGGCGCAAGCCUGACCCAGCAACGCCGCGUGAAGGAAGAAGGCUUUCGGGUUGUAAACUUCUUUUGUCAGGGAAGAGUAGAAGACGGUACCUGACGAAUAAGCCACGGCUAACUACGUGCCAGCAGCCGCGGUAAUACGUAGGUGGCAAGCGUUGUCCGGAUUUACUGGGUGUAAAGGGCGUGUAGCCGGGUUGACAAGUCAGAUGUGAAAUCCUGCGGCUUAACCGCAGAACUGCAUUUGAAACUGUUGAUCCUGAGUACUGGAGAGGCAGACGGAAUUCCUAGUGUAGCGGUGAAAUGCGUAGAUAUUAGGAGGAACACCAGUGGCGAAGGCGGCUUGCUGGACAGAGACUGACGUUGAGGCUCGAAAGCGUGGGGAGCAGACAGGAUUAGAUACCCCAGUA
rnacentral:rRNA from 1 species